GGGUGCUCUCUCUCUGAUGGAAGCCAGGGGCUAUGUCGAAAGCUCCCAUAUGUAAAGCCCCCGUGGCAAGAAACUGAGGGAGGCCUCCAGUUGACAGACAUUGAGGAAUUGAGCCACUCACUCCAACAUUCUUUGCAGGACUGAAUCUUGGCAACAACCAUAUGAGUGAGUUUGGAAGAAGGUCUCCAUUUGAGCCGUCAGAUGGGGUUGCAGCCCUGGCUGACUGCAGCGUAAUGGGAAACUCUGAGGCAGCCUGGCCUAGCUAUGCCACUUCCGGAUUUUAGACCCACAAAAACUCUUAGGUCUUAGUUGUGGCACAUGAACACCUAGCUGAGGCACGUGGAAAUUAGUUAGUUCCCUGAUCCCCUGGGAUCGAACCUGAGUCCCCUGCAUAGGGAGCUUCGAAUCUUAGCCACUGGACCACCAGAUCUGGGAGUAUCGGAUGUAGCUGAGUCCAGCCUGUCGCCAGUACGCCACCAUGAUGUCGCGAGAGGGGGCGCGUCGGGCCGAAUCGCGAAGACCUGUCAAUGUCGGCUCGGCGCGCGGCCCGGCUCGGGAAGUCCCUUUUUAAUUUACAGGAGCUAUUUAGUAUUAAGAAUUCAUUCUUGUCAUAUGUGU
ensembl:lncRNA